AUCACCCUGGGAUCAUGAGCUGAGCUGAAGGCAGACGCUUGACCGAUUGAGCCACCCAGGCGCUCCUGGUCUCUAUGUAUUUUUAUCAGUUCUGAAUUUUUCUGGGAAAUCUUUCACAUUCUUUCUUAGAUCCAAGGUCUGUAUACAUAAUGUGAUUUAUAACUAUGCCCUAUGGAAAAGAGCACCCCAUUCUUGUCUUUUUGUGUUACAGAUUUCUCUUGUACAAUUUCUCAUUGAAAAUUGCCUUAAAAUAUUUGGAGAAGACAUCACUUCCCUCUUGGGAGAGAACUCAAUGAGUCGUGGUAACAGCGAGCAGGCUGCAGACUCCAGCCUGAAGACUGUGAAAACCCGUUCUUUCAGAGAUAGGGCGUUUUGUCGGGGUUCCAGCACUUCCCAGCACAACCAGUGCACAGCCCCACCUUCCGCAAAGCCAGGACAGCUCUUUGGAGUUCCCCUCAUGGAUGUGUGUGAUAAAGACAACUUCUCCUUCCCAAUUCUGGAUUUUCUUAGAAAUAUACACGGAAGUAUAUUUUUAUCUGAUCACUAUGACAAAUGGCUCGGUGUUAUUGAUCAAGGCAACGAAGAGGAGAAGAUAACUGCAGCCCAGAGGUAAUGAUGCAAUAAUUACUCUGGUCACAUCUCCAAAAUACAGCCAACAUACUAUUCGGCAAACAUUGGCUUACGUUUUGCAGCUUUGCUCAGUAUAAUCAUGACCAAUGCCAAAGAGUUUCCAUUCUUCACACCCAUGGGGGCCAGGUUCAUAAUGGAGACACACUUUAGGGCCAUUAUCGUUCUUUUCCUGAUCUUAUUAAUGUGGAAUCCUUGGCCGUUUUACAUCUUUUGGAUACAUGAAACUGUUAGGGGAAAUCCCCUGGUCCAAGACAGAUGCAAGAACAUCAAUUGCCAGGGCUAUGACCUUAAAGGUCUGUCAAACAUUUAACUAACCAGAGAAGAUUUUAUCUGGCGCAGGAACUGAAGUCAGGGCAACAAUUUUGUAUACAUUCAUGCCUGGAACUCUGCUACAGCGGGUUGUGUGCUAGA